CAGUCGUACUGGCGGGCAAUCAGCCUUUUGGGUAUGAUUAUGUGGGGCUUGAGGAGUUAAUCACCCUCAUCUUUGCAUAUUUGUGCACUUUGGGUGUACUUGCUCGUGUGGUAGGUUAACAUCAAUUUUAGUCAUCAUAAAAUGGCUGGAGGAAUGUAGCUUCGAUCUCGUAUUGAAGUGUUAUAGCCUUUGGUAGACGUGAUGAUUGGGAUUGAGGAUUGCAACGGAUACCCUUCGGGCUACCUGUCUGAUCUCUGGAAGUUGCUCUGGUGCUGAAAGCUUGCUUAUGGUAUCAAAGUUGACGUUCAACAGGUUAGAACGGGUUAAA
rnacentral:rRNA from 1 species